UGGGGAAUUUUGGACAAUGGGCGCAAGCCUGAUCCAGCCAUGCCGCGUGCAGGAUGAAGGCCUUCGGGUUGUAAACUGCUUUUGUACGGAACGAAAAGACUCUGGUUAAUACCUGGGGUCCAUGACGGUAUCGUAAGAAUAAGCACCGGCUAACUACGUGCCAGCAGCCGCGGUAAUACGUAGGGUGUGAGCGUUAAUCGGAAUUACUGGGCGUAAAGCGUGCGCAGGCGGUUAUGUAAGACAGAUGUGAAAUCCCCGGGCUCAACCUGGGAACUGCAUUUGUGACUGAAUAGCUGGAGUACGGCAGAGAGGAGUGGAAUUCCGCGUGUAGCAGUGAAAUGCGUAGAAAUGCGGGGGAACACCGAUGGCAAAGGGAAGCCCCUGGGCCUGUACUGACGCUCAUGCACGAAGGCGUGGGGAGCAAACA
rnacentral:rRNA from 1 species